rnacentral:misc_RNA from 1 species
UGCGCCUCACUUGCUAGCACGUCUAGAUCAGCCAGGGCGUAGGCAUGUGUAUCGUAUUUUGUUGGGUUUCGAGAUCAAGAAUCGAUGUCCCUUUGUUGGUUGGUUUUCCGAGAAUCCUUGACCCUUGAUUUGUUACUUUCGCAUCGUUCGGUGCAUUCUGGGGGAUGUUUUGGCUUUUGGUGGCUUACUUGGCCUUUUGGCUGGGUUUGUUGCUAUUGAUCGGGCGGCUUUCGGGAAUGUCGACCGUGGAGGUGCAUGAGUGGUGUUUGGUUUGUUACGUGUGGAUGGCUGUUUGCUUGCGCAACAACGUUCACGCUGCAUACCUCUUCAGUUUUGUGGCAAGGCUUGGUUUGGCUUGUGCAUAUUGUGGGUUUCCUGUGUUGCAUACCUAGUUGAAGGAAAAGUGUGGGUUUUACGAUUUUCAUUUUCGUCUUGCGUCGUUCUUUCGGCAUGGGAUGAGCAAUGAAGCGAUCUUUAUGAUCCAUCGUGCUGUUGUGUUUGCAACAAUGAUGUGGCCUAUGAAGCAUCGUUUGGUCUCUUGUAUACGGAAGCUCAUUUGGGCUUGGGUCUUUAUAAGAUCUUUGUUAUGCCCUUGUUAAGCGUUCUCGCUUCUCCUAAACGAUUG